CACGUUCUCUUCUGUCCAUAGCUGAUUGCAGGUCAGCUCACCCCUGACUGUUUUCCGAAGCACUGAUUGCCCAAGGUUACCCUCUCCUGAAGUCUGUUGGCAGCGCUCCUCCUGUGAGCACUGAGUUACGCAACAGGGAGAACACUUUUGCCUGAAGGCAGGUACCUUGGCAUCACAUAGCAGUGCAGAAUAUGAGUGGGAAGAAUUGCAGCUAUCGACCUUGACAGGAAGCUGUGCACUCCCAGCAGUGGACAGCAAAUGUUGGACGCUGCAAGCGGGAGGAAGAGAAGGCCUCAGGGGUCCAGCACUGGGUCAAGAAGUUCUCAGCAUCGCAGCUAUCACAGGAGAGGAGAGGCUGCU